rnacentral:rRNA from 1 species
GACGAACGCUGGCGGCGUGCUAAUACAUGCAAGUUGAGCGCUGAAGGUUGGUACUUGUACCAACUGGAUGAGCAGCGAACGGGUGAGUAACGCGUGGGGAAUCUGCCUUUGAGCGGGGGACAACAUUUGGAAACGAAUGCUAAUACCGCAUAAAAACUUUAAACACAAGUUUUAAGUUUGAAAGAUGCAAUUGCAUCACUCAAAGAUGAUCCCGCGUUGUAUUAGCUAGUUGGUGAGGUAAAGGCUCACCAAGGCGAUGAUACAUAGCCGACCUGAGAGGGUGAUCGGCCACAUUGGGACUGAGACACGGCCCAAACUCCUACGGGAGGCAGCAGUAGGAAUCUUCGGCAAUGGACGAAAGUCUGACCGAGCAACGCCGCGUGAGUGAAGAAGGUUUUCGGAUCGUAAAACUCUGUUGGUAGAGAAGAACGUUGGUGAGAGUGGAAAGCUCAUCAAGUGACGGUAACUACCCAGAAAGGGACGGCUAACUACGUG